rnacentral:rRNA from 1 species
GACGAACGCUGGCGGCGUGCUUAACACAUGCAAGUCGAGCGGAAAGGCCACUUCGGUGGUACUCGAGCGGCGAACGGGUGAGUAACACGUGAGUAAUCUGCCCUUGGCUUCGGGAUAGCCACCGGAAACGGUGAUUAAUACCGGAUAUGACCACUUCGUGCAUGCGAUGGUGGUGGAAAGUUUUUCGGCCAGGGAUGUGCUCGCGGCCUAUCAGCUUGAUGGUGAGGUAAUGGCUCACCAUGGCUUCGACGGGUAGCCGGCCUGAGAGGGUGACCGGUCACACUGGGACUGAGACACGGCCCAGACUCCUACGGGAGGCAGCAGUGGGGAAUAUUGGACAAUGGGCGGAAGCCUGAUCCAGCAACGCCGCGUGAGGGAUGACGGCCUUCGGGUUGUAAACCUCUUUCAGUACCGACGAAGCGCAAGUGACGGUAGGUACAGAAGAAGCACCGGCCAACUACGUGCCAGCAGCCGCGGUAAUACGUAGGGUGCGAGCGUUGUCCGGAAUUAUUGGGCGUAAAGGGCUCGUAGGCGGUUUGUCGCGUCGGGAGUGAAAACCAGGUGCUUAACACCUGGCUUGCUUUCGAUACGGGCAGACUAGAGGUAUUCAGGGGAGAACGGAAUUCCUGGUGUAGCGGUGAAAUGCGCAGAUAUCAGGAGGAACACCGGUGGCGAAGGCGGUUCUCUGGGAAUAUCCUGACGCUGAGGAGCGAAAGUGUGGGGAGCGAACAGGAUUAGAUACCCUGGUAGUCCACACCGUAAACGUUGGGCGCUAGGUGUGGGGUCCAUUCCACGGAUUCCGUGCCGCAGCUAACGCAUUAAGCGCCCCGCCUGGGGAGUACGGCCGCAAGGCUAAAACUCAAAGGAAUUGACGGGGGCCCGCACAAGCGGCGGAGCAUGCGGAUUAAUUCGAUGCAACGCGAAGAACCUUACCUGGGUUUGACAUACACCCUGCCGCUCCAGAGAUGGGGCUUCUUUUGGGGGUGUACAGGUGGUGCAUGGCUGUCGUCAGCUCGUGUCGUGAGAUGUUGGGUUAAGUCCCGCAACGAGCGCAACCCUCGUUCUAUGUUGCCAGCAUGCCCUUCGGGGUGAUGGGGACUCAUAGGAGACUGCCGGGGUCAACUCGGAGGAAGGUGGGGAUGACGUCAAGUCAUCAUGCCCCUUAUGUCCAGGGCUUCACGCAUGCUACAAUGGCCGGUACAAAGGGCUGCGAUCCCGUAAGGGGGAGCGAAUCCCAAAAAGCCGGUCUCAGUUCGGAUUGGGGUCUGCAACUCGACCCCAUGAAGUCGGAGUCGCUAGUAAUCGCAGAUCAGCAACGCUGCGGUGAAUACGUUCCCGGGCCU